UACGAAGGGGGCUAGCGUUGUUCGGAAUUACUGGGCGUAAAGCGCUCGCAGGCGGAUUGAUAAGUCGGGGGUGAAAUCCCGGGGCUCAACCUCGGAAUUGCCUUCGAUACUGUCUAUCUAGAGUCCGGGAGAGGUGAGUGGAAUUCCUAGUGUAGAGGUGAAAUUCGUAGAUAUUAGGAAGAACACCAGUGGCGAAGGCGGCUCACUGGCCCGGAACUGGCGCUCAUGAGCGAAAGCGUGGGGAGCAAACAGG
rnacentral:rRNA from 1 species